UCACUCAAAUGUGGGUUGUACACUCGAGGAACACACAUGAUUCCUAUUCUCCACCUUCCCCGCGUCUUCCCUCCCAUUCCCGGCGGGUACUCUUCCAAUCUCUGCAGCGGCCCCCGACGCUACCCUCGCGGAAGCCGCGGACCCCUGGGCGCUGAGAACCUCAUCCAUUCUCUAUUUACGUGUAAAGCACAGCAGGACAGAAUGUCGCUUUGCUUGGCCAUUGUAUACGGCCAGUGUUAUGCCAGCACCCACACAAGAGAGGACCUCUUGACUGAGAUUGUACCACACGCCCCCACCACCCCAAUGUGAUUGCCAGUAGGAAAAAAAUAGAAAAGACAUUAGUUUUUAUUUUAAAGGUUUGAAAUGCCAUGGAUCUGCACGAGCAUGAGAAAAACAGGAACACAAGAAACCUAACAGCGUUUUGAGCAAAGAGGAGACCUAUUAGCUGAAUUUUGAUCAAGAUGUGUCUUCUCUGUCCAAGAAUGAAAGUAUUUUAAUUAGAGGGUACUAAAGUCAAUGAUGUUGCUUUUAGGAGUGGCAGUGUUGCAGAUCGUUCCAAAUACUAGGAGCAGUGGGUCACAGCUGCUUUCUUGGUGAUGUAAAAUUCAUUUCAUUAGUCUGAAGAGGGCAUUAAUAGGUUUUAUGCAAAUGGUAGUGCAUUUAUUGCUUUUCUCCUAAUAUUUUCAUCCAGUGAAGGAUGCGUCAUCACACUCCUCAUUCUCUUGAUUCUGUUUUCCAGCAGAUGGGAAGUUGCUAGGAGGGGCUACGCCUCCAAUAAGCCUAGAGAAAAGGUGACUAAGAAAGUGAUAAGGCGGCCAAUUUUUUUAAAAAAGAAAUCCAAGUCACAGGAAAUGGUUUAGAUUAAAUGUUGCUGCUUUCAUUUUAGCCUUGUCUCCUCACAAACACAUUUUAGUUUCCCUGUUGGAAGCAUCCAUUUGUCUUUUUAUGCACCCUCCACGUUAAUCAUGGUGAAAGUAGAAUUUCCUGUACUUCCUGGCCUGGGGGCCAGGGAGGUAUGAGUGUUGUCUAGGGUUCACAUUCCCAAUCUGAGGAAACAUUUGGAACUUUAAGAUUCAUGGCCUAGGAAGAUUUGGUGGGUUCCAUGAUAGUCCUGCCAGCUGCUGUAGGAAUCCCAUUUCCCAAGCUGUUGUCCUUUGGCCAGAAACCUUGGUUAUUUUCAUCAUCAUCUCUGUGGUGCCUCGCUCUGGUCUGACAGGUUGUAGUUAUCAGUGGGUAUGUGUUGAGUUGAUGAAUUAGUGGAUAUACGAUGCUUUUCAGAUACCUUCGAGCAUAAAUGCCUGCCUUGACUAUAAAUCCAUCACCUAAGAAAAAAUUCCUUUUAUACUAUGCCAGUAUUGUCCAGAGGAGCCCAAGGAAGCUCUGUGGAGACAUAGGAAUAAGUGUUCCUGGUGGGACAUUUAAGAAAGCUAGAGUGAUAGCCUUGGAAAAUCUAAAAUCCUGGUUUGAUUUUCAUACUCUCCCUUUAGAACUUUUUAUCCAAGGCCUUUUUCUAUGCACACACAUCAUCCCAGUUUAUAAUGCACUUCUUCCAGGGAGCCUUCUCUGAGCAAUGUUCAUCAUUCAGUGAUUUUCCUAGCCAGUAUCAUUUCAGUGUUUCUCAAGAUAGUCUAUCAUUUGUCUCAAAUUUGUUGAAAUGCUCUUAUAUAUUAGCAUUUCAAAAUGACUAUAGUGAAAUUUCACAGAACUUUAGUAAGAUCUGAUAAAACAUUGAUUUUCAACAAAUUCUUUUUUUUUUUUUUUUUUCCCUUUUUGAGACAGGGUCUCACUCUGUUGCCCAGGCUGGAGUGAAGUGGCAUGAUCAUAGCUCACUGCAGCCUCGACUUCCUGGGCUCAGGUGAUUCUCUCACCUCAGCCUCCCAACUAGCUGGGACUGUAGGCAGACACCACCACACCCAGCUAAGUUUUGUAUUUUUUGUAGAGGCUAAGUUUCGCCAUGUUGCCCAGGCUAGUUUUAAACUCCUGGGCUCAAGAAUCUGCCCACCUUGGCCUCCCAAAGUGUUGGGAUUACAGGCAUGAGCCACUGGGCCUGGCCUAAACUAAUUCUUAUUAAAAUUAUACAAUGCACAUAGUUUUGAAAGUCAAAUGGAACUAGAAGGCUGAUAACAUAAAGAGUUCCCUGUCCUAUACAUCUCCACUUCUUUAUCCCCUCUUUCUAGAGGGAACCAAUUUAGACUCUAUUUGCUCUUUCUUCUGGCAUUGACUUAAUUCAUAAUAGUAAAUAAUAUAUAUGUAAUGCUAUUCAUUGAUUUAACAAAUUGAUAUAUUAUCUGUUAACUUCUUAUUAAAGACUUAUCUCUCGCACCUCUGUCACUAUUUCCAUUUCCCAUACCAUUAGAACAAUACUGUAAUUUUGGGUUAGACUUAUAUUUGGUGUUUAUAUUAUUAUGAAACAAAAAUAUUCACAGUUGAGUUGUAUAUUGUGAAUAUUAUUUUUUGUUAUUUUUAAAGUUAAUAAUUGCCUUUUCUUACUUUUCAUUGUUAUCAUAGCUAAUUCUUCCUGUACCCUCAAAUAGUCCCCCCAAGCAAUUUCCACAAGGUCAGUUUCAAAACGUAAUAUAGCAGCUCCAAUUUUUUUUCACGGAAACCUCUUUACCAGAGACUUUCAUUUUUCUCUUAUUUGGGCUAAUUUCUCCCAAGGCCUACUGCAUAACUACCAUCUGCGGACCUCCAUUUGUUGUCGUCAUUGAAACUUUCUGCCUUUCUCUUGGGUUGCAGUUCCUGUUUCUUGGAUCUCUGGUCUUUCUCCUUGAUUUCUUCCUUUUUGGUAGAACACAUCAUCUAAUAUUUCAUAAGGUUUACAAGGUUGUACAAAGCCUGAGAACUAAGUGGUAAGAGACCUCAUUGUACUCCUUAUUUGAGUCAUGCAGAUUCUGUCUGGACAUGUUGCCCUCUGGGCCAGCGGUCAUCCUGGCAUCUCACGUCAGCAUCGUCCUAGGGAUUCCUUUCACUUAUCUCAUGCUGGUUCUCUUGUUUUCUGAUUUAAUGGAUUUUUUUCUUUCCUGGUUUAUUUUCUUGCUUGGGAAGAAAGCACCUUUCAGUGACUUCUUGAGAGAAGGUAACUAUUUGGGAUCCCACAUGUCUGAAAAUUUCUUUAUUCUACCCUAUUGCCUAACUGAUUAUUUGGCUGGGUUUGGAAUCCUAUUUUUGAAAAUCUUUUCCUUCUGAAUUUUGAAGGCAUUACUCCAUUCCCUUUCUGGCUUCUGAGUGUUUGUGUUGAGAAGACUGAAGCCAUCUGAUUCAUGUUUUGCUUAGAUAUGAUCAUUGUUUUUUUCUUUCUAGAAGCUUGUUAUUAUUCUCUUUUUUCUAACCAAUUUUACAAAAAUGUUUUUCUAUAGGUUUAUUUUUAUCUAAUGUGCUGGGCAUAAUCAAAGAUAAUGAAUUAUAUUUGAUUGUAAUACUUAUUUAGUGGCCUUUACCUAAAUAGCCUCCCAGCCUGUCUUUUUCUUUUUGGGAUGCUGACAUUUGAAGAGUCCAUGACACAUGUUUAGCGGAAUAUCCUUAAAAUUGUAUUUGUUUCCACAUAAUUAAAUUUGGAUUUGACUUUUCUGGCAGGAACAUUACAUAGGUAAUACUGUCAAAAGUGUAUCAUUUCUGGGGUGCAUAAUGCCACUUUGUCUCAAUAUAAAUGUUGUCUCAAUAUAGAUGAUAUUAAGUUUGGCAUAUAUGUUUUGAAAACUCAGUAGUUUUUAAUUAAAUAAGCAGUACAUAUUAAUUGCAGAAAAAUUAGACAAUGCAUAUUCACAUACAAAAAACACUUAACAUACUGCUCAAAAAAACCUGUUGUUAAUACUCAGUGAUAUAUAUUUCAGGCUAUAAUGACUAGAUCUGUAUAUUACAGAAAUAGAUUACACUGCAUACAACAUUUUAUAUCCUGCUUUCAUUUCACCUAAGAUUGUAUUUGGAUCACUUCCCAUGUCAGUGAUAAUAUGAUAUAAUUAUCUGUUUAAUGUUGAAUGGAUUACAAUUAUUUAAAUAGCCCCCUAUUUUUAGACAAAAGUUUUUCUCAUUUUCACUUUAUAAAUAAUUCUGUGAAGAACAUCUCUUCACCUACAUCCUAGCACAUGCAUUCAAUUAUUCCCUUAUGAUAAAAUCCUGUCAUUGGAAUUGCUGAGGCUGAGCACGUGCAUUUUUAAUGCAUUUUAACAUAUAGUACUGAGUUAUUCUCAACAAGGGAUGCAAGCAAUGUAUGUGUCUUUUUCCCCAUAGCCCCAACAAUAUGAGCAUCAUCAGCGUUUGUCAUUCUCAUAGAUGAAAACACUUCAUUAUUUCUUCAUUUUAAAAAUUGAGAUAUACUUUAUAUAUCAUAAAAUCUAGAAUUUUAAAGUAUACAAUUCAGUGCUUUUUAGUAUAUUUACAAGUUUGUGCAACCACUGCCACUAUCUAAUUCCAGAACUUUUAAAUCAUUCCCAAAAUAAACCCGUACACAUUAUUUUCCUCUUCCAGCACCUAGAAACCACUAGUCUCCUUUGACUCUAUGGAUUUGGUUAUUCUUGACAUUUCAUAGAAAUGCAAUCACAUAAUGUAGCCUUUUGUUUUUGGUUUCUUUUGCUUUGAAUAAUGUUUUUAAGUUUCAUCCACAUUGUAGUAUGUAACAGUAUUUCAUUAUUUAUGGCUAAAUAAUAUUUCAUUAUGUGGAUACACCAAAUUUUGUUUAUCCAUUCAUCAGCUGAUGGAUAUUUGGGUUGUUUCUAUUUUAGGCUGUUUCCAUUUUGGUUGUUUUCAUUAUAGUGAACAAUUCUGUUAUGAAUAUUUGUGUACAAGUUUUUCUGCGAAUGCCUGUUUCAGUUCUCUAGAGUAUAUUCCUAGGUGUGAAAUUGCUGAGUCAUAUGUGAAUUUCAUGUUUAACUUUUUGAGGAACUGCCAAGCUGUUUUCCAUAGAGACUGGGCCCUUCCCACCAUCAUUGUAUGAGUUUUCCAGUUUCUCCCUUUGCGUAGAUGCAGUUUCUCAUUUGAGAUCAUAUUCCUUCUGCUUAAAGAAUGUCCUUUAACAUUUCUUAUAGUUCAGAUCUGCUGGCAACACAUUCUCUUAGUUUUCUUUUUUUUUUUUUCUGUCUUAUAAAGUUUUUAUUUUACCUACAUUUUUGAAAGAUACUUUUGCUGGGCAUAUAGGAUUCUAUGAUGAGUUUUUCUUUCAGUACUUGAAAGAAGUUGCACCAUUGUCUUCUAGUUUGCAUAGUGCUUGAUACAUUUUGCUCAUCUUUGUAAUGAUGUAAUUCUUAUCUUUUUGUUUGUUUAUUUGUUUGAGACAGAGUCUUGCUCUGUCGCCCAGGCUGGAGUGCAGUGGUGCAAUCUUGGCUCGCUGCAACCUCUGCCUCCCGGGUUCAAAUGAUUCUCAUGCCUCAGCCUCCCAAGUAGCUGGGAUUACAGGUGAGUGCCACACGCGGCCAGGCUGGUCUCGAACUCCUGGCCUCAGGUGAUCUGCCCAGCUAUGCCUCCUAAAGUGCUGAGAUUACAGGCAUGAGCCACCGUGCCUGGCUGGUUUCUUUUUUUGGAGUGUUUCUUUUUUUCUGUGGUUGCAUUCAAGAUUUUCCCCUUAUCUUGCCUCACUGCAACCUCUGCCACCUGGGUUCAAGUGAUUCCCAUGCCUCAGCCUCCCAAGUAGCUGGGACUACAGUCAUGCACCACCAUAUCCAUCUAAUUUUUGUAUUUUUAUUAGAGAUGGGGUUUCACCAUGUUGGCCAGGCUGAUCUCAAACUCUUGACCUCAGGUGAUCCACCCGCCUUGGCCUCUCAAAAUGUUGGGAUUACAAGCAUGAGCCACCGGGCCUAGCCCUUUGUAUAUAUUCUGCUUGGGCUUCUCUAAACAUUUAGGUUGGUGAUUUGUUGUCUUUUAUUAAUUUUGGAAAAUUCUCAGCAAUUAUCUUUUCAAUUAUUUCUUCCGACCUUUUAUCUCUUUCUAUUCUCCUUCUGUGACUUGAAUUACAUGUAUAUUAUGCCAUUUCAUACUGUCCCACAGCUCUUGGAUGCUCUAUUUUUCUCCACUUUUUCUUUUUCUCUUUUUUCCCCUCUCUGUUCCAGCUCUCCUCAGAGGGGCUUGCCACCUUUUGAAAUUCAGGAUUUUAUUUUGAAAAUUUUCUAUUCUAACCUGUAGUCAAGUUUACUAAUUCUUUCUUCUAUCUCUAGUCUGCUGAUAAGGCAAUUGAAGGAAUUCCUCAUCCAUAAUAACAUGUUUUUCAUGUCUAGUGUAUCCAAUUUAUUCUUUUUUGAAUCAUUUCCAUCUCUGCUGAAAUUCUGUAUAUGUUCGUGCAUGUGGUCCACAUUUUCCACUAAAUCCUUUAACAUAUUAAUCAUAGCAUUUUUACAGUUACUUUGACAGUUUCAACCUCUGGGCCAUCUCUCAGUCUGGUUCUGUUUACUGCUUUAUCUCUUGAAAAUUGGCUUCUUUUUUUUUUUUCUUUUUAACUCUUUUGCCUUGUAAGUUUUACUGAGUGCCAGACAUUAUAUAUAAAAGAAUAAGAGUGACUGAUGUAAAUAGUGUUUACUUCUGAAAAUGGCCAUGCCUCUUCACUCAUCAGGCUACUAGGGUGGUAAAUCUAAUCAGUAGUUGAGCUAGGUUUAGAUUUUGUUGUUACUACAGUUAUCAUUAUUAUACUGUUGACUUCAUAUUCCUCCAUACUGACAUCUUGCGUUUCAACUAUGAGGCCUGGAAUGGUAGAAGGUUUUUCUCAGUGUUUCUGCUCCAUCCCCAACUUUCAGCUGGCCCUUCACACUUGGCCACCAGAGUGGGGGAGGGGACGGGGAUGUUUCUUUCCAGGCUUUGGCCCCUCUCCCAGAAGUUCUGUGCUGUUUGCUGCCCAUGAUGGGGGCAGGGUGGCUUUCUUGGCCUUCCUGUUCCAACCUUUGUCUUAUUCAGGCCCUGGGGGCCUGAGCCUCAAGUGUGGGAGUUUCUCCAUAAUCCUGUCCCUUCCCUCUAUGGCAGCUGAAUUCUGUCUUGUAACUUCCAAGAGCAAAUUUCUUGGUUCUGUCCCUUUUGUGAGAAACCUUUGCUUUGUAACAAAGAUUCUGGGCAUGAAUAGGUUUCUCCAUCUUGCUUAGCAGUGAUAGCUUUCGCUGUAAUCUACCCCUCCCCAGUGACAGCUGACCUUUUGCUGAGGACUGGGGGUGAGAGUGUUUUCUGAUCCUGCCCCAGUGGCAGAUGUGUUUUGCUUUGUAUGACAAAAAGUCCUGGGUUUUAUGCUUGUCCUCAAGAGGCAGCCACUCUCUGUCUGUACACCCAUCCCACUAAGGGGGCUCCAUCAGGUCUUCUGCUCUGCCCCUAGUCUUUCUCUUUAAGUACCAUAUUAAGUCCAUGAAAGAAAGCUGGUUAGUCAGUGGGCACACCGUGUGUGGGGGGUUCCCAGAGUUUCUACUGUUAUUUUCACAUGCAUUUGGCCUUUAAGUAUAUGUCAAAAUAUCAGUUGCUUCUUUACCCACUUUUUUGGCUGUGAGUUUUUCCUCCCGUGUUCUGUCAGAGGUCUCACCUGUCCUUGGAGGUGCUUGCCACCUUUUCGAAUUUAGUUCACCUGUUGCCUGGCAAUCUCCUUUCUCUGAUAGGCUCAAGAAAAGUUUUGAUUUUGUAGAUUUUCUGCCUUUAUUUUUUUCUUUUGGUUGUUGUUGUUAACAUGGGAGCAGUAUUCCCUUGCAUCUUUGUCUAUCCUAAGUGGAAAUACAAUUCUCAAACCAUUAUUUAAGGAUAUCAAAACUUCACCGUAAAUAUUGCAAAAUUUAUGCAUAUUUUUUCUAACUUUUAACAUUGAAGAGUUUUUAAAUUUCCUUUAAUAAUAAAAAGCUUAAGGCUAAGAAUAUUAUUCUGAGUAUAGUUUUGGUUGUAUCAUAUAUUUUUCUAAAUGUUCUUAUUUUUGUCUGUAGCCAUGCCAUCCUGAAUGACUGAUCUAAAUUUUCUCAUUUUUAUUACUUUUAAAAUAGCAUAUAAUUAUAAUUUUUUGACUCAAGAAUUUUUUAAGACUCAGCUUUUUAAUGUUAAAAUUAAAAAUAAUUGGGUUAGGCCAGGCUCUGUGCCUCACGCCUGUAGCCUGAGCACUUUGGGAGGCUGAGACAGGAGGAUUGCUUGAGUCCUGGAGUUUGAGACAAGCUUGGGCAACAUAGGGAGACCCUGUCUCUGAAAAAUAAAAAAAUUAGUCAGGCACGGUGGCGCACACCUAUACUCCUGGCUACUUCGGAGACUAAGGUGGAAGGAUUGCUUGAGCCUGGGAGAUUGAAGGCUGCAAUGGGCUAUGAUUGCACCACUGCACUCUAGCUGGGGUGACAGAGUGAGACGCUGCCUCCAAAAAAAUUUUUUUGGCGGUAAAAAUUCUACCUAAUGAAAGUUUAAUAUACAUAAUUGUAAAUAAUACAUACAUAAUUGUAAACAAUAUAUAUGUAUACGCACACAAAUGAGUAUGGCCAGUGUAGAAGGGGGAUAAUAGUUCUAACAUGGGUCUAGAUGGUCUGCUUUCCACAUGAGCUUCUUCUACCUAGUUUGUGUUGAGUCAUCUCUUUUUUGCUUCAUGGCCCCUCAUUACCAAGUUCUUAGUUUAAUUCAGUGGUUUAUAGUAUGUUUUAAUAGCCAGUAAUAUUAAUCCCACCUCGAUAUUAUUUUCCCAUAAUUUUAUUACUUAUUUCAGACAUUAUUUUUUCCAUAAAAACUAUCAGACCAUUUCAUUCAAUUUAAAAAAUCAAAUAAAAAUAUCUCUUUUCUGGAAUAAAAUCAGGAUUGCACAAAAUUUAUACAUUAAUUUUGGGGAAGUGAUAUUUUGAGAUUAGAUCUUCCCAUCCAAGAACAUGCUGUCAUUGCAUAUUCAUAUUUUGUUUAUAUACUUCAAUAGAAGUUUAUAGUUUUAAAAAUCUAGGUUUGUAUACCUCUCAUUAAAAUGUAAAGUAUUUUCCAGCCUGACCAACAUGGUGAGACCCUCAUCUCUAGAAAAAACUUAAAAAUUAGCCGGGCAUGGUGAUGCACACCUGUGGUCCCAGCUACUCAGGGGGCUGAGGCAGGAAGAUCACUUGAGCCCAGGAGGUUGAGACUGCAGUGAGUGAGCCAUGUUCGCACCACUGCACUCAAAACCUGGGUGACAAAGUAAGAUCCUGUACCAAAAAUAAAUAAAUAAGUAAACAAAUAAAUAAAUAUGUAUAGGAUAACAUGAAUGUAAUAUUUUCUCUAAUUUCUGUUUUUACCUAGUGAUUCCUCUUAUAGAUAUAUGUGAGUCAACAUAUCGCUCUUGUUGCUCAGGCUGGAGUGCAGUGGUGUAAUCUCGGCUCACUGCAACCUCUGCCUCAAAUGAUUCUCUUGCCUCAGGCUCCCAAGUAGCUGGGAAUACGGGCGCCCACCACCACACUCAGCUAAUUGUUUGUAUUUUUAGUAGAGAUGGGGUUUCACAAUGUUGGCCAGGCUGGUCUUGAAGUGUUGACCUCAGGUGAUCCCCCCACCUCACCCUCCCAAAAUGCUGGGAUUAUAGGCAUGAGCCACCGCGCCUGACCUUUUAUUUUUGUAUAUGCAGCCAUUUAACAAAUUCCAUCCAUUCUAGUAGUUUUUACGAGGAUCUCCUGGGUCUAAUAAAUUGAAAAACCACAAACAGUAGAAAGAAUACAAAAUCCAUUAAAAAACAAAAACCAAAACAAGAUAAAGCUCCUAGUCGAUAUGGAUGCUUCUUUCCUGAGGAUGGUAGUUUGAAUAACAAGGUUCCAGACUAGUGGUUCCCAGAUUUU
rnacentral:lncRNA from 1 species